rnacentral:lncRNA from 1 species
AGUCCAUAAAAGCACGGUUAGGAGCAAACAGCUUUUCAAUUUCCCUGUGUCCUUUCCUAUGGCUGUGGUUGGAGAGACGUAGAGAGAGGCUGCUGCGAAGUCACAAUCCAGCCACACGGCAUUGAUCCUGUCAUGGCUGGUGUGGUUGUGUCCACACGUGACCUGAACAUCCUUCCCACUCAGUACCAAAUACAGUCAAUUCUGUGGCUUGAUGGUGCGUGGACAUAACAUUCAGAUAUCGCCCAUGAUGAGGAAACAGAAGCUGGGAUAUGUGAGUAAACAUUUCCAAGGUCCUGCAGCUAAUCAAUGGUUGACAACUUCUUUCCUCUGCCUAUGUUGCCAUCCAUGUCAUGGUUUGUGUCAAGACUCUAGGAGAAGUCUACCAUCAGCACCACAGCUACUGUGCACAAAUCCAGAAUGCCAGACUGAAGUCAGAAGGAAAGAUCCUUUAUAUAUUGAAAGAAGAAAGUAGAACCAUUUCUGGGUCCCAGCUGUGGGAAGAGCUCCUGUGGCUGUGAAUUCUGACUUCUGGGUCUUGGCACAAGGUGUGGCCAGCAAGCUAAGCUGUCCUGAGGGUGUGCAGGGCCAGGGGCUGAAGACAGUGUUGGAGCAUCCACAGACUGGUUUGUCUCAAGAAGCAUGUUACUAAAUAUGAAAUAGCAAAAUCUGCAAGUGGGUUUACUUUUCCCCCAUAGAUUAGAAUGGAUUCAAUAUUAUCUCUUUAUUAGCGUCACUUUUAAUCACUUGUAUAACAAGUAGGACAGAAAGGUGGCUUGAAAGUCAAUCAUGUGAGAAUUCCAGAUAAAUUGACUUUGCUCACAACAAUCUGUUAUUCAUGUGACUAUCAACUGUCAUGUGUGCUGGGGCAAAAAAAGAAGAUAAGGAUUCACUGGUAUCAGAUAGUUCCAGGAGGGGAAACCCAGGAUUGAACUUUUUCAGCCUUCUAUGGUAAAAUUUCCUGCUCUGUCGGUGCGCCAAAGCUUUUUUCAGUUUCCUAAACUCCCAUAUUCAAGAAGAUAAGCUAUUUUCUCUUCUUUCUCAUCCUUCCUUGACAAAGCAAAGCAUAUUUUCAUUGUCUACUCUGUGUCAUCCAUGCUUGGUUCCUGUCCUCAAAGAGCUUAUAGUUCAAAUAAAGGAGAGGGAGCAUUUUACAAGGGAAUUAAAGGUAAAAGAUUCUGAAAGCCAGUUUAAAAAGUCGUGAGGGAGGGGUCUGGGAGAAGCUGAGCAGGGGUGAAAGGGUACGAAACAUUAUGGAAGGAGAACAGGGGAGCACCCUGACUACUGGGUGGAAACACCAAUCAGUGGGUAGAAACCACACAGUGGUAACACUGAUCAGUGGGUAGAAAACAAUGACAGCAGGUAUAUGAGGCAUGGAACACUUGGCUUAUUGUAAAGUUUUCAAAAUAUGCAGUCCUUUCUAUCCACCAGGGGUUGGGAGUUGUCUUUGUAUAUCAACCGUGGAAGGGCUGUUUUGGUUCAUCAUUCUGUGGUCUACCUGGGUAGACCUGAUGCAGCCGUGUUUCUGAGGAAAGGAAGAACAGCUUUUGUUUUGUGAUAUGUAAUGGUAGAUGUAGUGCCAUGGAAUGAUGCAGAUUUCAUUCAGAUAUUCUUGGAUCUUGGCCCCAGGACUCACUCAUUCUUCCCUAUAUGAGCAUUGGUAGUUACAGGUUUUAUCCUUCCUUUAAUUGUAAGUCUUUUGAAGCCAAAAACUGUAUCCAAUUUGUCACUGUCUCCUAACAGUACUUAGCAGUGUCUGAUGCAUCAUAGGGAGUUUGUAAAUGUUUGGAUAAAUAAAGGGAAAACAAAAACAACCACAAAAAAACCUUUAUUUUGCUUUAAUAAAAAUAUUUUAACUAGUU